AGAGUUUGAUCCUGGCUCAGGACGAACGCUGGCGGCGUGCUUAACACAUGCAAGUCGAACGGAAAGGCCCUUCGGGGUACUCGAGUGGCGAACGGGUGAGUAACACGUGGGUAACCUGCCCUCAGCUUCGGGAUAACUCCGGGAAACCGGGGCUAAUACCGGAUAUUCAGCUUGCAUCGCAUGGUGUGGGUUGGAAAGUUUUUUCGGCUGGGGAUGGGCCCGCGGCCUAUCAGCUUGUUGGUGGGGUGAUGGCCUACCAAGGCUUCGACGGGUAGCCGGCCUGAGAGGGCGACCGGCCACACUGGGACUGAGACACGGCCCAGACUCCUACGGGAGGCAGCAGUGGGGAAUAUUGCGCAAUGGGCGGAAGCCUGACGCAGCGACGCCGCGUGAGGGAUGACGGCCUUCGGGUUGUAAACCUCUUUCAGCAGGGACGAAUGUAGACGGUACCUGUAGAAGAAGCACCGGCCAACUACGUGCCAGCAGCCGCGGUAAU
rnacentral:rRNA from 1 species